GAACUCAUUUUCCAGUUACUCUUUCUCUCUCUAAACUCAGUUCCAUUCUCCUCUUCUUGCUCUGACUUCUCUCUACUUUUCCACCACUUUCCAUCGUUGAAAUUUCAAAUAGGUAGUGUGCUCUCGUUCACGGAGUUGAGAGCCUCCCUUUCAUCCGAUUGAAAUUCUGAUUUGGACGGUGGAUUGUAGGGUCUUGUUGGGUGCUGGCUGUGUAGCUAUCAAAGCCUUGCUAUUGUUGUGAGUUGUACUGUACUGUAACCACAAGAGGCGGAUGAGGUGCCUCUAGAGCAGGCUUUGAAGGAAGACGAUGUUGUUGCUUAGUCUCCUUAGGGUUCUAUUAUUGUGUUUUUUGUAUUUGGAAUUACUAUUCAGUUGUUAUGAAUCCACCUGUGAUUCCCACCCUUUUGAAAUACUUCAUUUGUUUAAGUUCUAAAUUCUGCCUGGUUUUGGAAUGACUGUAA